GGUCACGUAGCCCAGGUGGGUAGAGCGUUGGCUGUACUAAAGCCUUCCCCUUGCUUUUGUGGGUUCGAAUCCCACCAAGACCA
rnacentral:tRNA from 1 species